CCAGCGUCUGAGGAGGGGAACGCUCCGGGCCUUGUCAUCCACCUGAGGCAGCGUAGGCCUUCGCUCCUGGUUGCUGCUUUGCAGUUGUGAAGAACAGAGGCGCUGAAUGGCGAAGAACUCACCCGAGAUCACAAGCUAGUAAUGAUGGAGCCAGGACUUGACCCUGGGUGGACUAGCAAAAGUUCACAUUUUUAACCCUUGUUCUCUGAGGCUUAUCAAGGGUCAUCACCUCAAAGAAGCCUUCCCUGACCAUCCAAUAUAAGAGAGCACGUUUUUAAAAAGGAGACGGAAAUGCUGAGCAUACUUUCAGAUGAGACUAGCCUGGAAAGGGAGAGCUUCUCGGAGCCCCAUGUGCUGUUGCCUUGGAGGAAGUUCAUGCCCUGGCCUGUUCCAGAGCUUUCUGGGGCAACAUCAAAGACAUUCACAAAGAAGAUCCCACAUCCUUGGUCUCAAGUUAUCGGAGAGGAGCCUUUCAAUAACUCAUCUAAUCCACCGUCCUUGUGCCAAACACUGUCCUAGGUGCUGGGCUGCAACAACGAACAGAGCUGGAAAAAAACCCGUCCUCUUGGAGAUUACAUUCUCGAAGGAGGAGACAAACAAUAUAAUAGGGCCAGUGUCCUGUGCUUUCCAUCCUGAGUCUCCUGGGUGCCCCGCUGAGGUGGCUGCAGUGGCUGAUGGCUUGAUGGCCCAGCAUCCUGUUUCCAUCCUGAUUUCCCACAGGGCUCACCACAGAAGUGACUGCAAUGUGAUGGCUUGAUGGCUGCAACAUCCUUUGUUUACCAAGGUGGCAGACUGUCAGAGCUGGAAGAAAUCCUGAAGACUAUGCUAGUUCAAAAUUCGCCCCCUCCUUCCAAUUUCACGGAUACCAAGCUGAGCCUCUUCACCCAUUAGGUGACUUCCCAACACAGAGCUUCAGCAAACCAAAGGCGAGAACCCAUAUCUCCUGACUCCCGGUCCAAUGUCUUUCCGUGGGGAGGCCCUAACAGCCACCGUGCUUGAUGCAGUGCAUAUUCCUCCUGCCAAUGUUCCAACACAUUUUGUUGAACAAACAAAUCACUUCUGGCCAUAGCCACCCUGGCACUUUCCGAUGCUCCAGACGCUGUGUUAAGACAUU